AGUGAACGCUGGCGGUAGGCCUAACACAUGCAAGUCGAACGGCCGCACAGUAAGAGUUUGCCCUUAAGGGUGGCGAGGGGCGGACGGGUGAGGAAUACAUAGGAAACUACUUUUACGUGGGGGAUAACGGAGGGACAGUUAUGCUAAUACCGCAUACGACGUACGGGUGGAAGCAGGGGAUCUUCGGAGCUUUGGUGUUUGAAUGAGCCGAGGUCGGAUUAGCUAGUUGGCAGGGUAAAGGCCCACCAAGGCGACGAUCCGUAGCUGGUCUGAGAGGAUGAUCAGCCACACUGGAACUGAGACACGGUCCAGACUCCUACGGGAGGCAGCAGUGGGGAAUAUUGGGCAAUGGGCGCAAGCCUGAUCCAGCCAUACCGCGUGGGUGAAGAAGGCCUUCGGGUUGUAAAGCCCUUUUGUUGGGGAAGAAAAGCAGCAGGUGAAUACCCCGCUGUUCUGACGGUACCCAAAGAAUAAGCACCGGCUAACUUCGUG
rnacentral:rRNA from 1 species